rnacentral:rRNA from 1 species
UACGGGGGGAGCAAGCGUUGUUCGGAUUUACUGGGCGUAAAGGGCGCGUAGGCGGCCACCGCAAGUCGACUGUGAAAUCUCCGGGCUUAACCCGGAAAGGUCAGCCGAUACUGCGGGGCUAGAGUGCAGAAGGGGCAACUGGAAUUCUCGGUGUAGCGGUGAAAUGCGUAGAUAUCGAGAGGAACACCUGCGGCGAAGGCGGUUCUCUGGGAAUGUUCUGACGCUGAGGAGCGAAAGUGUGGGGAGCGAACAGG